rnacentral:rRNA from 1 species
AGAAUGAACGUUGGCGGCGUGGAUUAGGCAUGCAAGUCGAGCGAGAACCGGAGCAAUCCGGGGAAAGCGGCAAACGGGGUAGUAAUGUGUCGGUACGUGCCCUCAGGACGGGGAUAGCCAGGGGAAACUCUGAUUAAUACCCGAUAAUCUCGAGAGAGCAAAGGUCCGCUGCCGGAGGAGCGGCCGACAUGGUAUCAGGUAGUUGGUGAGGUAACGGCUCACCAAGCCUUAGACGCCUAGGGGGCUGAGAGCGCGACCCCCACCACUGGGACUGAGAUACUGCCCAGACACCUACGGGUGGCUGCAGUCGAGAAUCUUCCGCAAUGGGCGAAAGCCUGACGGAGCGACGCCGCGUGCGGGAUGAAGGCCUGGGUGUAAACGCUAGCGAGGGGGAUGAAAGCCGCGAAGGCUUGACGAGACGCCCAAGAGAAGCGACGGCCUAAGUCGUGCCAGCAGCGAC